rnacentral:tRNA from 1 species
AUUUAAAUAGUUUAAUAAAAAUAUUGAUUUGUGGUGUCAAUGAUAUGAGAUUUCAUUUUAAAUC